rnacentral:rRNA from 1 species
CGAAGGUGGCAAGCGUUGUUCGGAUUCACUGGGCGUACAGGGAGCGUAGGCGGUUGGGUAAGCCCUCCGUGAAAUCUCCGGGCCUAACCCGGAAAGUGCAGAGGGGACUGCUCGGCUUGAGGACGGGAGAGGAGCGCGGAAUUCCCGGUGUAGCGGUGAAAUGCGUAGAGAUCGGGAGGAAGGCCGGUGGCGAAGACGGCGCUCUGGAACGUUUCUGACGCUGAGGCUCGAAAGCGUGGAGAGCAAACAGGAUUAGAUACCCUGGUAGUCCACGCCUUAAGCUAUGGAUACUAAGUGUCGACGGGUUACCGCCAGUGCCGCAGCUAACGCAGUAAGUAUCCCGCCUGGGAAGUACGGCCGCAAGGUUG